AGAGUAAACAGAGAGGGCACUGUAUCUUUAAUCACCACACCAGUGACUUUCCCCUAGAGAGGUUCAUGCACUGCCCUCUGAAUGUGCUGACUUCUGAGGUAUCCACACAUGAGGCAAACUCAACUACAUGGUUUGUGGUGGAGGCUGCCUUCA
rnacentral:snRNA from 1 species